rnacentral:lncRNA from 1 species
UUCAAGAGGUAAGUGUAGAUCUUUGCUUUCCUAGUGUUUUUAUGAAGUUUUAUGAAGGUUUUAAUGUUUGAGUAUGGGUAGAUAUGCAUGUUUAGGCUUUUGUGGGUUUUAUGCCCAAUGUAUGUUAUGUGAUGUUGUGUUGAGGAGUUUUAAGUUAGUUUCUUUGCUCUCUUUGCUUGAGGGAGUGUGUAUGCAUGCUUGGGAGAGAGUAUGUN